AGGAAGUGGGUGGAGAGCACGGCAGGUAAAAUACCACCUGCUAUUCAGAAAGCUAAAUUAGAAGAAAAUAUCAAGAAAAAACAGAUAGUAAGAAGACAGAGGAAAAUAUAAAGAUAGAUGAACCAUCAAGUGAGGAAAGUGAUCUAGAAUUUGAUAAUGAAGGUGUGAUUGAACAAGAUACUGAUGUCCCUCAAGGAAUGGGAGAUGAAAAUGCAGAGUUAACAGAGGAGAUGAUGAGUGAGGCAAAUGAGAAAAAGUGGCUGCCAUUGAAGCUCUUAAUGAUGGUGAACUAGAGAAAGCCACUGACUUAUUCACACAUGCCAUCAAGUUGAAUCCUCGUUUGGCCAUUCUGUAUGCCAAAAAAGCCAGUGUCUUCAUCAAAUUGCAGAAGCCAAAUGCUGCCAUCAGAGACUGUGACAGAGCCAUUGAAAUAAAUUCUAAUUCAAUUCAGCCUUACAAGUGACGAGGGAAAGCACACAGACUUCUGGAUCAUUGGGAAGAAGCAGCCCAUGAUCUUGCCCUUGCCUGUAAAUUGGAUUGUGAUGAAGCCACUAGUGCAAUGUUGAAAGAAGUUCAGCCUAGGGCCCAGAAAAUUGCAGAACAUCAGAGAAUAUAUGAAUGAAAAUGUGAAGAGUGAGAGAUCAAAGAAAGGGUUUAGAAGGGUCCGGAAGAGCAAGAGAGGGCCCAGAGGGAGGAACAAGUCAGAUGACAGUCAGGAACUCAGUAUGCCUCUUUUCCAGGUGACUUUCCUGGGGGAAUACCUGGUAGUUUUCCUGGAGGAAUGUCUGGAAUGGGAGGAGGCAUGUCUGGAAUGGCAGAAAUGCCUGGACUCAGUGAAAUUCUUAGUGAUCCAGAGGUUCUUGCAGCCAUGCAGAAUCCAGAAGUUAUGGUGGCCUUCCGGGAUGUGGCCCAGAACCCAGCAAAUAUGUCAAAAUACCAAAGUAACCCAAAGGUUAUGAAUCUCAUUAGUAAACUGUCAGCCAAAUUUGGAGAUCAAGCAUAAUGCCCUUCUGAUAAAAAGCCCUUGCUGAAGGAAAA